AGCAGCCGCGGUAAUUCCAGCUCCAAUAGCGUAUAUUAAAGUUGUUGCAGUUAAAAAGCUCGUAGUUGAAUUUCGAGAUCAAAUUGUUGGUCGUGCCUUGGUACGCACUGGCAUUAUUGGUUUCUCCCUUCUGAAGAACCAAGAUGUCAUUAAUUUGGUGUCUUGGGGAAUCAGGACUGUUACUUUGAAAAAAUUAGAGUGUUUAAAGCAGGCUCGCGCUUGAAUACAUUAGCAUGGAAUAAUGAAAUAGGACGUUUGACCCUAUUUUGUUGGUUUCUAGGAUCGACGUAAUGGUUAAUAGGGAUAGUUGGGGGCAUUAGUAUUCAAUUGUCAGAGGUGAAAUUCUUGGAUUUAUUGAAGACUAACUACUGCGAAAGCAUUUGCCAAGGAUGUUUUCAUUAAUCAAGAACGAAAGUUAGGGGAUCGAAGACGAUCAGAUACCGUCGUAGUCUUAACCAUAAACUAUGCCGACUAGGGAUCGGAUGAUGUUAAUUUUUAAUGUACUCAUUCGGCGCCUUAC
rnacentral:rRNA from 1 species